rnacentral:lncRNA from 1 species
UAAAAAGGUUUGGUAUUAAAGUUUUUAUAAGCACAACAAGGAGUAUUAAAGCUUUAUUCAAUAACAACUCAGUGGUAUGAAAAAAGCAUUUCUACUACUCUACAAUCCAAUUCAUUUUCUUCCACUUAAUUCUUAUUUCAAAUUACGUAUCUUGUUAAGGAAUGAUAAAUCUUUCUAUUUGUCACAUGAGUUCAAUUUCAUUUCACCUGGAACCUUUUCCACCACGAUUUUUUUCCUCUUUUUUUCUUUUCAUCAAAAUUUCUUCUAUGAAAAAAAAUAAAAUUGUAAUAUUGAGCUGCCUGAAAUAUCAUCUUUUUCCCAUAUUGAGCUGCCUGAAAGAGCAGCGUCUCACCAUAAUCGUUCUGCAUUCUGAGAAACUGUGAAGCUUUCUUCAAAGUUUCUCUAGCAGCAGGAAGGGUUCUGCUGGCUGUGGCUGCCUCGUGGAGUAUAGUGUUUUCCAGCAUCAUUCUGACUGGCGAGUUGGCUGAGAUGGGUCUCCGGCAAUUGUUCCAGUAAAUUCAGUUCUAGAUCAGAUUGUUUGGAGUAAGUAGCUAUGCGGAGGACUGUCUUUGUGUAUAGUCAUUACGUACAUGGCCCUUCUGGAAUAUUUUUGCAGGGUUGGAUCACCUCUUUCUCAUCUCCCUUCAUCAGAGCUUUGUAGAGAUCUCUGUGAAGCUCCUCUUUGGUACCUUCAUCUGCCAUGAAAGUGGAAACAGUAGAAGGGUUACUGGAAGAUGGGUGUUUAGGUACAAGCUAGUGGAGAAAGUUAAUGGGUGGAUAAGAUUCCUUUUCUCUUUAGUGGGGGAUCUGACUUUUCAUAUUACUUGAUAUUCCACCUCUCUUGUGUUAUUAGGUAUGCAUCUUAAGUUUACUAGAAAUUAUACUUCCAAUUAUUUGCUUUGUAAAGUUGAAUCCCAUAAAAAUUUGAUCAAGUUUAUAUUUGCUUUAGAUGCUACUUAGUCUAGAAAUCAAGAGAAAAUCAGUUUUAUUAUUACAUGCAAGUCUAAUUAAGAACAGAUUUUCAUCACACAUACUUUUAAGAGUUAAAUAUCCCUUAAACUUCUGAACUUUUUGUAUUUUACUUCCUCCCAUUUAAAAUCCAUCAAUUUAUUUAAAAAAAUUGCUAAAUUGUGUUUGAAUGAUUUAUAUUUUUACUAACAUGAAUGAUUUAACAUUCCCUUGUAUUUAUAAGUUAAUUGACUAUGCAAAGAGAUAAUAAUACGUGAUAAAUCUUUCUUUAUUUUGCAAAUGUUUUUUUCUUCUUGUAGUGAAACUUAUCUUUCAGUUUUCUUAACAAUUAGAUAUCAAAAAGAUUCGUUCAUAUCCAUAUGGCCAUACUUUUAUGGCCUUUUUCGCUUUAAAAUAUGGGGUGUUUGCCAUGUGCACGUGCCUUCUUCUAGCUUUACCUUUCUUGGUAUUCAUGCUUUUUAUUAUUGAGGGCCGGCUUGUCUAAAUGGUGCUUGCCUUUUCAUUAUUACUGAUUCUUCUUAGCAUGGUUAACAAAGUUAAAUGGUAAAUGGUGUCUGCCAUUUCCAAUAUUCAAGAUAUAUUUCUCUAUUAAUUUGUUAUUGUGGAUCAAAAGGUUUGUUGUUAAAAUUUGAUGCUAGAUCUAGGACAUGAAUGAUGUCUGUCUUUCAAGCUUUAGAGCUGUCUCUACCCCAUCUUAAAACUUCCGCCCUGGUGAUCUAUAAAAAUAAGGAAAAAAAAAAAGAAAAAAAGAAAGAUCAGCAAGUCAAAUUAGUUUUAAAAAAUGUUGGUAUUUAUUAUUGGAGAUUUUGUAAGCAUCUUUCUUCCUAUGUUUGUUGUAUUAUGAUAUAUACUUGAUUCUUCAGUUCAAGGUGUUCCCUUUAAACAAACCGCUACUUCAAUGCCACCUUGGUCUUGCCAGUUCCAUUUAUGUCAUAGAAACAAUAUUCAAGAAAAAGAAAUAAACAACAAACAAAUCAAAUCGUCUUUUAGUUUUUUAAGUUAUUGUUUUAUAUUUGAUUUUUCAUUGGACUUCUGAUGAUAAAUUAAAUAAAAAAUUGAGAUUAAUUCUUUCUUAUUUUUGUUUGCAUAUGUAGCGAAUUUAAGAAGCAAUGCCCAAAGACUCCCAUGCCUUUCUUGGUCAGACCAACCCAACCGGCUAAUGUGGCAAAUAGGGGAACCCUUAGUAGCCAAGAGAUGCCCUAUCACUUCCACUCAAAUGUAUUCAAAUUUAAAACUCUGUGCAUAUGUAGAAAGGCAAUACAGAUCAUUAGUUCACUUUAAACAAGCUAAUUAAAUUCAAUAUAUGCAGUUUUUUGUUCUUGUUACAGGCAAACUGAAGAAUAUUUGUGUAAAACAUGGACAAGGAGUAAUGAAAACACAACCAAAUGAGACGAUCAUUUCUUCUUUCAAACCGGAGUACGGUUGGGAUGAGAUUUAUGGGGUUUAAUGGAGGAGCUGUCCCCUCGGAUACUAUUAUCCUCGAACGACUUAUUGUUUAUCCAAGGUUGAAGAGGAAAACAAUUACACCUAGGACAAGCCUUCAGUAUGAGCUUGAGGGGGUAUUUGCAGGCUUCCAAGAGGGAUAGGUAUAGAGGUGAAUAUGAGAUAGCAAAGAGGGUAACUGGCAGGAAUGCAACUGAGUAUAACACAAUUUUUGUCCACCUUUCCUUAUUACGUAUCAUGAGGACUAUUGUUGCAGCAAAUGCCACCAUCAUCAUUGAGACUGAGAGGAUUAAGAAUGUGAAACCCAGCAUGAGCUUUUGAGGAAGAGAGUUCUUGAAGUCUUGUAAUCGAAAUGAGNN